rnacentral:rRNA from 1 species
UACGUAGGGUGCAAGCGUUAAUCGGAUUUACUGGGCGUAAAGCGUGCGUAGGUGGUCUUUUAAGUCGGAUGUGAAAUCCCUGAGCUUAACUUAGGAAUUGCAUUCGAUACUGGGAAGCUAGAGUAUGGGAGAGGAUGGUAGAAUUCCAGGUGUAGCGGUGAAAUGCGUAGAGAUCUGGAGGAAUACCGAUGGCGAAGGCAGCCAUCUGGCCUAAUACUGACGCUGAGGUACGAAAGCGUGGGGAGCAAACAGG